AUUGAACGCUGGCGGCAGGCCCAACACAUGCAAGUCGAGCGGAUGAAGGGAGCUUGCUCCUGGAUUCAGCGGCGGACGGGUGAGUAAUGCCUAGGAAUCUGCCUGGUAGUGGGGGAUAACGUCCGGAAACGGGCGCUAAUACCGCAUACGUCCUGAGGGAGAAAGUGGGGGAUCUUCGGACCUCACGCUAUCAGAUGAGCCUAGGUCGGAUUAGCUAGUUGGUGGGGUAAAGGCCUACCAAGGCGACGAUCCGUAACUGGUCUGAGAGGAUGAUCAGUCACACGGGAACUGAGACACGGUCCAGACUCCUACGGGAGGCAGCAGUGGGGAAUAUUGGACAAUGGGCGAAAGCCUGAUCCAGCCAUGCCGCGUGUGUGAAGAAGGUCUUCGGAUUGUAAAGCACUUUAAGUUGGGAGGAAGGGCAGUAAGUUAAUACCUUGCUGUUUUGACGUUACCAACAGAACAAGCACCGGCUAACUUCGUG
rnacentral:rRNA from 1 species